rnacentral:rRNA from 1 species
GAACCUCUGGUGUUCGGGUUGUCAUGCCAAUGGCAUUGCCCGGUAGCUACGUUCGGACGGGAUAACCGCUGAAAGCAUCUAAGCGGGAAGCCCCCUUCAAGAUGAGACUUCCCUGAGGCCUUGCGCCUCCUGAAGGGCCCUUGAAGACUACAAGGUUGAUAGGCUGGGUGUGGAAGCACAGCAAUGUGUUGAGCUAACCAGUACUAAUUGCCCGUGAGGCUUGACCAUAUAACACCCAAGGGGUUU